AAAUUUAAAUUGGAGGUCCUUAUAUGGUAAUUAUACCAUUGGUAACUUGGUAGACAAAAAUGGACAUGAGAUAAGUGAAAUAGAAAAUUUUUAAGUUAGGGGCAAUUUGGUAAUCUAGUAAUUAAAAUGAAUUAAAAGGGAAAAAGAUGGCAAAAAUCAUCAUCUUCUUCAUAUGAACGAAAUCAGCAAGGGGGGAAGCCAUAGUUAGGGUUUUCAAGCUUCCAAGCUCCAUAAUCAAGAAGUACGAAACUCGAGGUUAGACAAAGGGAAGAAUAAAGUUGAAGACUAAGUUGGUGAAUUUGGCUAUAAUUGGUACCGAGUAUUGCAAAGCUACUUCAAGGAUCCUAAAGAAGUCGGAGAUCGUCCACACUAUCAACCACAACUGCUCGGUAUUUUAUAUCGAAUCACGUUUGAGUUAUGGCAUGUAUAGGGAUUUAGUUAUUUUGUAUGUUUGUGAUUAUGAUUUUGCUAAAGAAUGGUGUGUAAGUAUUUGAUGAUGUAUGGUUAUUAAAAUGGUUAAGUA